rnacentral:rRNA from 1 species
AACGAACGCUGGCGGCAGGCCUAACACAUGCAAGUCGAACGCUGUAGCAAUACAGAGUGGCAGACGGGUGAGUAACGCGUGGGAACAUGCCCUUCGGUUCGGAAUAACUCAGGGAAACUUGAGCUAAUACCGGAUACGCCCUUAGGGGGAAAGAUUUAUUGCCGAAGGAUUGGCCCGCGUCCGAUUAGCUAGUUGGUGAGGUAAUGGCUCACCAAGGCGAAGAUCGGUAGCUGGUCUGAGAGGAUGAUCAGCCACACUGGGACUGAGACACGGCCCAGACUCCUACGGGAGGCAGCAGUGGGGAAUAUUGGACAAUGAGCGCAAGCCUGAUCCAGCCAUGCCGCGUGAGUGAUGAAGGCCCUAGGGUUGUAAAGCUCUUUCGCCAGGGACGAUAAUGACGGUACCUGGAUAAGAAGCCCCGGCUAACUUCGUGCCAGCCGCCGCAGUAACAC